GGUUUUUCAUCCUUUGCCUCGAUUUCCCAUCCCUCUUUUUUUACCACUUUGUGUCUUCGUCCUGAAAAAGAAAUAAACUUGUGUAAACUGAAGUGAUCCGUCUCGACUUUGCAUUCAUAAUAUGGUAGAGGGUGGAGGAUUACGGUAUACAGACAGGGAAACAAAGUUGGACCAGAAAACAACAUGACGACAUAAGGAAAUAUGGAUUGGAAGUAGUUU
ensembl:ncRNA T11F9.27 ncRNA